GAAUGCUGACAUAAGUAACGAUAAAGCGGGUGAAAAGCCCGCUCGCCGGAAGACCAAGGGUUCCUGUCCAACGUUAAUCGGGGCAGGGUGAGUCGACCCCUAAGGCGAGGCCGAAAGGCGUAGUCGAUGGGAAACAGGUUAAUAUUCCUGUACUUGGUGUUACUGCGAAGGGGGGACGGAGAAGGCUAUGUCAGCCGGGCGACGGUUGUCCCGGUUUAAGCAUGUAGGCGGAGGUUCCAGGUAAAUCCGGUACCUUGUUAACGCUGAGGUGUGAUGACGAGGCACUACGGUGCUGAAGUGAUAAAUGCCCUGCUUCCAGGAAAAGCCUCUAAGCAUCAGGUAACACGAAAUCGUACCCCAAACCGACACAGGUGGUCAGGUAGAGAAUACCAAGGCGCUUGAGAGAACUCGGGUGAAGGAACUAGGCAAAAUGGUGCCGUAACUUCGGGAGAAGG
rnacentral:rRNA from 1 species